AGAUUGAACGCUGGCGGCAUGCCUUACACAUGCAAGUCGAACGGCAGCACGGGAGCAAUCCUGGUGGCGAGUGGCGAACGGGUGAGUAAUACAUCGGAACGUGCCCAGUUGUGGGGGGAUAGCCCGGCGAAAGCCGGAUUAAUACCGCAUACGACCUACGGGUGAAAGCGGGGGAUCGCAAGACCUCGCGCUAUUGGAGCGGCCGAUGUCGGACUAGCUUGUUGGUAGGGUAAAAGCCUACCAAGGCUACGAUCCGUAGCUGGUCUGAGAGGACGACCAGCCACACUGGGACUGAGACACGGCCCAGACUCCUACGGGAGGCAGCAGUGGGGAAUUUGGACAAUGGGCGCAAGCCUGAUCCAGCCAUGCCGCGUGCGGGAAGAAGGCCGUUCGGGUUACGUAAACCGUCUUUUAGUCGAGGGAACGAACGGUUACGAGCGUAAUACCUUGAGACUAAUGACGGUACUAGAAGAAUAAGACACCGGACUAAC
rnacentral:rRNA from 1 species